AACGAACGCUGGCGGCAGGCUUAACACAUGCAAGUCGAGCGCCCCGCAAGGGGAGCGGCAGACGGGUGAGUAACGCGUGGGAACGUACCCUUUGCUACGGAAUAGCUCCGGGAAACUGGAAUUAAUACCGUAUGUGCCCUACGGGGGAAAGAUUUAUACGGCAAAGGAUCGGCCCGCGUUGGAUAAGCUAGUUGGUGGGGUAAUGGCCUACCAAGGCGACGAUCCAUAGCUGGUCUGAGAGAAUGAUCAGCCACAUUGGGACUGAGGCACGGCCGCAACUCCUCCGGGAGGCAGCAGUGGGGGAUAUUGGACAAUGGGCGCAAGCCUGAUCCAGCCAUGCCGCGUGAGUGAUGAAGGCCUUAGGGUUGUAAAGCUCUUUCACCGGAGAAGAUAAUGACGGUAUCCGGAGAAGAAGCCCCGGCUAACUUCGUGCCAGCAGCCGCGGUAAAAC
rnacentral:rRNA from 1 species